UACAAGGAGAAGUACUGGGAAGAUCAUCCAGGUGAAGCAGUUCCUCUCAUGAAGCCAAAGUUCUACUCUGGUCCUUGGAAGGUGCUUAGAGGAGAGGUUCUGCCACCCAAUCAGUGAAAACUGCUGCAAUCAUUUUACUUUUUUCUGGAGUUCCUUCCAUUUUCUCCCCCUUUUUGUUCUAUUGUGUAGGUGGCACAGGUUUGAUAGAUGUUAUCAAUAAAGUAUACCGUUGCUUGAAAAAAUAAUUAGAACAACCUUGUCAUGGUGAUGGUGCUUUUGGUUGCCCAGUGCAUAAUUGAACAGGAAGCUUGUUUAGCCCCCUUUGAUAUGUUGUUUGUAUUUGGAAAACCGAGGUGUUUUCAUUAACCAAAAAUAUAUCACUUUUUUUCUGUGAAGCAAAGUGAUAUAUUUU
rnacentral:misc_RNA from 1 species